rnacentral:rRNA from 1 species
UCGGGAAUAUUGCGCAAUGGAGGAAACUCUGACGCAGUGACGCCGCGUGCAGGAAGAAGGUUUUCGGAUUGUAAACUGCUUUAGACAGGGAAGAAACAAGACAGUACCUGUAGAAUAAGCUCCGGCUAACUACGUGCCAGCAGCCGCGGUAAUACGUAGGGAGCGAGCGUUAUCCGGAUUUAUUGGGUGUAAAGGGUGCGUAGACGGGAAAGCAAGUUAGCUGUGAAAUCCCUCGGCUUAACUGAGGAACUGCAGCUAAAACUACUAUUCUUGAGUGCUGGAGAGGAAAGUGGAAUUCCUAGUGUAGCGGUGAAAUGCGUAGAUAUUAGGAGGAACACCAGUGGCGAAGGCGACUUUCUGGACAGUAACUGACGUUGAGGCACGAAAGUGUGGGGAGCAAACAG